rnacentral:rRNA from 1 species
ACGGAAGGCAGCAGUGGGGAAUAUUGCACAAUGGGGGAAACCCUGAUGCAGCGAUGCCGCGUGGGGGAAGAAGGUUUUCGGAUUGUAAACUCCUGUCUUAAAGGACGAUAAUGACGGUACUUUAGGAGGAGGCUCCGGCUAACUACGUGCCAGCAGCCGCGGUAAUACGUAGGGAGCGAGCGUUGUCCGGAAUUACUGGGUGUAAAGGGAGCGUAGGCGGGACUGCAAGUCAGAUGUGAAAUGCCGGGGCUUAACCCCGGAGCUGCAUUUGAAACUGUGGUUCUUGAGUGAAGUAGAGGCAAGCGGAAUUCCUGGUGUAGCGGUGAAAUGCGUAGAUAUCAGGAGGAACACCGGUGGCGAAGGCGGCUUGCUGGGCUUUUACUGACGCUGAGGCUCGAAAGCGUGGGUAGCGAACAGGAUUAGAUACCCUGGUA